UACGUAGGGUGCGAGCGUUGUCCGGAAUUAUUGGGCGUAAAGGGCUCGUAGGCGGUUUGUCGCGUCAGGAGUGAAAUCCACUGGCUUAACUGGUGGCUUGCUUUCGAUACGGGCAGACUGGAGUACUGCAGGGGAGACUGGAAUUCCUGGUGUAGCGGUGGAAUGCGCAGAUAUCAGGAGGAACACCGGUGGCGAAGGCGGGUCUCUGGGCAGUAACUGACGCUGAGGAGCGAAAGCGUGGGGAGCGAACAGG
rnacentral:rRNA from 1 species